rnacentral:rRNA from 1 species
GACGAACGCUGGCGGCGUGCUUAACACAUGCAAGUCGAACGAAGAGCGAUGGAAGCUUGCUUCUAUCAAUCUUAGUGGCGAACGGGUGAGUAACGCGUAAUCAACCUGUCCUUCAGAGGGGGACAACAGUUGGAAACGACUGCUAAUACCGCAUACGAUCUAAUCUCGGCAUCGAGGAGAGAUGAAAGGUGGCCUCUACAGGUAAGCUAUCACUGAAGGUGGGGAUUGCGUCUGAUUAGCAGGUUGGCGGGGUAACGGCCCACCAAGGCGAUGAUCAGUAGCCGGUCUGCGAGGAUGGACGGCCACCUUGGGACGGAGACACGGCCCAGACUCCUACGGGAGGCAGCAGUAGGGCAUCUUCCGCAAUGGGCGAAAGUCUGACGGAGCAACGCCGCGUGAGUGAUGACGGCCUUCGGGUUGUAAAGCUCUGUUAUUCGGGACGAAAGGCCUUCUUGCGAACAGUUAGAAGGAUUGACGGUACCGGGAUAGAAAGCCACGGCUAACUACGUG